rnacentral:misc_RNA from 1 species
UUUCCGUAGGUGAACCUGCGGAAGGAUCAUUAAAAAUUGGACUCCAUUGGUGAGUUCAUUAAUAAUCCCUACCCUUUGUGAAUUUGUUUGUUUGAAUAAUUUUUUUUCAAAAAAAAUUAUUGAAUGUCUUUCCCUGUUUUGGUGGAGCUUGUAAAGUGAAACCAGGCAGGGGAAUGGCAAACAAUAAUAUUUUUGAAAAAAGACCUUUUUUUAAAAUUAAACUUUUUGUAAUUCAUUUGUCUAAAAUUAUUUUUAUAAUAUAAAAACAACUUUUGACAAUGGAUCUCUUGGUUCUCGCAACGAUGAAGAACGCAGCAAAAUGCGAUAAGUAGUGUGAAUUGCAGAAUACGUGAAUCAUCGAAUCUUCGAACGCAUAUUGCACUUUUUUAGUUUACUAAAAAAGUAUGUCUGUUUGAGUAUCCAGUAAAAUAUUCUCAUAAAAAACAUUGUUUUUUUAUGGUUAUGAGUGUUUUACAACGAUAACAAGUUGUUUCACUUUAAAUUCUUGUUAUCAAAAAAAUCAUUAAAAGCUAAUUUUAAAGAUUUUUUAAAAUUGGAUAAAAUUUUCCCGUAAAAAGGAAAUAACCUAAACAAUUUUAAAAAAUUAAAAUUGGUUUGAUUUUUUUGAAACCCAAAGGAAAAAAAAACGAAAUUAACUUGAUCUCAAAUCAGAUAAGAGUACCCGCUGAACUUAAGCAUAUCAAUAAGCGGAGGAAAAGAAACUAACUAGGAUUCCCUCAGUAACGGCGAGUGAAGCGGGAAGAGCUCAAAUUUGAAAUCUUCAAGGUUUUACCUUGACGAAUUGUAGUUUAAAGAAGUGUUUUCUGUUGGAGUUUUGGUAAAAGUUCUUUGGAAAAGGACAUCAUAGAGGGUGAGAAUCCCGUAUUUGACCAUUAUCUCCAGCUUUGUGAUACACUUUCAAAGAGUCGGAUUGUUUGGGAAUGCAGUCCAAAAUGGGUGGUAAAUUUCAUCUAAAGCUAAAUACUGGCGAGAGACCGAUAGCGAACAAGUACCGUGAGGGAAAGAUGAAAAGAACUUUGAAAGAGAGUUAAACAGUACAUGAAAUUGUCAAAAGGGAAGCGUUUGACACCAGUGUUGUCUUCUCGAAAAUCAAUUAGAAAAAGGCCGGAUUUUGUGUUGUAUUGACUUUAUCAGCUUUCUGCACUUUUUUCUUGUCCUUUUUAAUGCACUUUUCGUUUAACAAGUCAACAUCAAUUUCUUUUGUUGUAAAAGGGUCAUUGGAAGGUGGCUUUCUUUUCGGAGAAAGUGUUUAUAGCCUUUGGCCUCUGCAAUCGGAGAGAUUGAGGUCUGCAGCGUAGAUCCUUCGGGGUUAGAUACAUUUGUGCUAAGUUAUAGCCUUUCAUAGACAACUUGUUGACUAUGAUCAGUCAUGUAGCUUACUCGCUUAUGCUAUUU